GGGUUGUGAGGUUAAGCGACUAAGCGUACACGGUGGAUGCCCUGGCAGUCAGAGGCGAUGAAGGACGUGCUAAUCUGCGAUAAGCGUCGGUAAGGUGAUAUGAACCGUUAUAACCGGCGAUUUCCGAAUGGGGAAACCCAGUGUGUUUCGACACACUAUCAUUAACUGAAUCCAUAGGUUAAUGAGGCGAACCGGGGGAACUGAAACAUCUAAGUACCCCGAGGAAAAGAAAUCAACCGAGAUUCCCCCAGUAGCGGCGAGCGAACGGGGAGCAGCCCAGAGCCUGAAUCAGUGUGUGUGUUAGUGGAAGCGUCUGGAAAGGCGCGCGAUACAGGGUGACAGCCCCGUACACAAAAAUACACAUACUGUGAGCUCGAUGAGUAGGGCGGGACACGUGGUAUCCUGUCUGAAUAUGGGGGGACCAUCCUCCAAGGCUAAAUACUCCUGACUGACCGAUAGUGAACCAGUACCGUGAGGGAAAGGCGAAAAGAACCCCGGCGAGGGGAGUGAAAAAGAACCUGAAACCGUGUACGUGCAAGCAGUGGGAGCACAGAGCAAUCUGUGUGACUGCGUACCUUUUGUAUAAUGGGUCAGCGACUUAUAUUCUGUAGCAAGGUUAACCGAAUAGGGGAGCCGAAGGGAAACCGAGUCUUAACUGGGCGUUAAGUUGCAGGGUAUAGACCCGAAACCCGGUGAUCUAGCCAUGGGCAGGUUGAAGGUUGGGUAACACUAACUGGAGGACCGAACCGACUAAUGUUGAAAAAUUAGCGGAUGACUUGUGGCUGGGGGUGAAAGGCCAAUCAAACCGGGAGAUAGCUGGUUCUCCCCGAAAGCUAUUUAGGUAGCGCCUCGUGAAUUCAUCUCCGGGGGUAGAGCACUGUUUCGGCAAGGGGGGCAUCCCGACUUACCAACCCGAUGCAAACU
rnacentral:rRNA from 1 species